AGCUUUGCGCAGUGGAAGUAUCAUAGCCAAUGAGGUUAAUCCAAGGCAUGAUUAUUGCUAAAAUGAAAAUAAAAAUACAGUAAAUAAAAUGGAAAUUUAGCGCAUUCGAAAAUG